rnacentral:misc_RNA from 1 species
UCCGGUUUGUCACCGGCAGUCUCAUUAGAGUGCCCUUUCGUAGCAACUAAUGACAAGGGUUGCGCUCGUUGCGGGACUUAACCCAACAUCUCACGACACGAGCUGACGACAGCCAUGCAGCACCUGUGUGCAGGUUCUCUUUCAAGCACCCUCGCAUCUCUGCAAGGUUCCUGCCAUGUCAAGGGUAGGUAAGGUUUUUCGCGUUGCAUCGAAUUAAUCCACAUCAUCCACCGCUUGUGCGGGUCCCCGUCAAUUCCUUUGAGUUUUAACCUUGCGGCCGUACUCCCCAGGCGGUCAACUUCACGCGUUAGCUACGUUACCAAGUCAGUAAUGACCCAACAACUAGUUGACAUCGUUUAGGGCGUGGACUAC